GCACAGGAACAACAUUGACCAAUACUGAUUGCGAAGAAUGUCGUGACAAAACGUUUUCAAAUAAAUCUUCUUCGCCAUUCUGCAAACGACACACAGAUUGCCAAUCCUUGGGACUUCAGGAAAUUACAGCUGGAACAAACACAUCAGACAGUGUAUGUGCAACAAGAAAUGAUCCUCGUUCCAGAGUUGCUGUGCUUGUGCCUGUGGCGCUUGUAGUAGUGCUAUCAGCUGUCAUAGGAAUUUUCAUUUGAAGAGAGAGAAUGUAAUCGAUGGAUAGAACAGCAGCAGGAUGAAGAGAGGAGAAUGAAGUACACGGAAACAGAAAGAAGAGACCAGUUAAACCAGCUGCAGCAUGAAGAUAAGGGAGCAUGUGAUAGCUUAAUGAGGGAAACAACAAAAGCUGAUAAAAAACUAUUAGAUGUCACAUGACUGCCCCGACUACAGUCUGUAUGGACUUGUUAUAACAGGUUAAAGCCCUUUUGAUUCUGUUUAUGGACAUAUUUUCAUUUUAUUGAGGGGUGCUUUCAGUUAAUGUAUUCCUUCAUUAAUUAAACACCAUUGUGAAAAUC